GAUGAAGAACGUAGCGAAAUGCGAUAAGUAAUGUGAAUUGCAGAAUUCAGUGAAUCAUCGAAUCUUUGAACGCACAUUGCGCCCGCCAGCAUUCUGGCGGGCAUGCCUGUUCGAGCGUCAUUUCAACCCUCAAGCUCUGCUUGGUGUUGGGGCCCUACGGUUGACGUAGGCCCUUAAAGGUAGUGGCGGACCCUCUCGGAGCCUCCUUUGCGUAGUAACUAACGUCUCGCAUUGGGAUUCGGAGGGACUCUUGCCGUAAAACCCCCAAAUUUUCUAAUGGUUGACCUCGGAUCAGGUAGGAAUACCCGCUGAACUUAGGCAUAUCAAUAAGCGGAGGA
rnacentral:misc_RNA from 1 species